GGACGGUAAGGAAUGAAAGUCUGACACCGUUUACUUUAAGGAAUACAGUGCGGCAAAGUCUUCAGACCUAAAUGGAGCGUCAUUAUCUGAGAUGAUUUUCUCCAGCAGGAAGAAUGGCAUUGAGCGGAUAUCCAGACGUCUGUAACUUAUGUUACAAGAGAACGCAAAUUGGCAUGACACAAAAAAAACACUCGUCAAAGGCAAACCACCAAGUGGUGGCCGUCCUUCGGACAAGAGGUUACAACGAGGAGAAAUCGACCCGUUCAAGGUGG